CGGCGACGCCGAGCGGACCCGAAAAGACCGUCUCAGUUCGGAUUGGAGUCUGCAACCCGACUCCAUGAAGCUGGAUUCGCUAGUAAUCGCGCAUCAGCCACGGCGCGGUGAAUACGUUCCCGGGCCUUGUACACACCGCCCGUCAAGCCAUGGGAGCCGGGAGUGCCUGAAGUGCGUGAGCGCAAGCAGCGCCCUAAGGUAAAACCGGUGACUGGGGCUAAGUCGUAACAAGGUAUC
rnacentral:rRNA from 1 species